CGAAGGCUCGCACUGGUUUUCUCCCCAUUUUGCUCGUCGGUCGCACGGCGCGACGGCGCGGACGAGCGGGGCGCGCCGGCCCACGGGGAGACACGCAGCAGCGGGGAUCGUCUCCGGCUCGAGACCGCGGCCGUCGGGGCGUGCUUCUUCUCCGAUCUGCAAGCUCUCGCGGUGAACCUCCUCAGCGGCGAGGAUUUCUGGGCGAGGAGGAGAGAGCAAGUGCCCGCACUCGAUCCUCCUGAGCGGCGUCGAUUUCUGGGCGAGGGGGCGGCAGUGGGGCGGACUCUGUGCUCCCAUCACCGUGGCCACGAUGUGUCAAGGCGAAGGCGGGAGAGUCGGGUGCCUCGGCUUGUCUGGGGCGGAGUUGCUUGCUUCCUCUCGGAUGUGGGUAGGCGAAGACAGCAAGGGCAAGGCCAAGGCCAUCUCCAUCUGCUAUCCUUCGGCAGUGUGGUCUCGCUUCGCGGCGUGCGGUGAGUUGGUCCCAUCAAAAUGGUUACGCUAGUUUGUUGUACUUGCGGGCUGCGCUGAUUUUUGCUCGGCUUAUUUGUUCGCGCAAAUGUGGCUACAUUUUCAGUUUCAGUGAGUGUUUGUCCUUAAUCUUUAACCUUAAUUUUCAGUUUUCAGUCAUUUCUUUGUCCGAUUAAAAAGAAUAGUGAAUUCUUUGUCCUUAAUCUUCAGUCUUAUGUUUUAUCAGUCGUUUCUUUGUCCAAUUAAGGCGCAGGGAGCCGCAGCAGCAGGUGAGAUUGCUACUUCUGGCUACUAUUAUUAAACUAGAAUCACUUUAUUGCAUUGUGUUGGGCUGUGAUUGUGUUUUUGUGUAUCACCACUGUAUUGCUUGAGUGAUGCAAUUGCAAAUGUCAAUUCAGUCAAGACAAGAUUUUCAAAAUUUGUGAGCUGAAGCGUAGCUCAGUUUUGUGAUCAGUUUGGGAAUUACAAGUGCUCGUUUGUAGUACUUUAUCCUUGAUGUAUGUAUCGGUGUAUAACUGGAUCGUGCCUUUUGUUUACACUCUGCUUCAAACAGGAAAGUAAAUUGUUCAGUUUGGUGGCCCAUCUGGUUUCUGCUUCUGUUGCCGCUAAUUUUCUGAAUAACAUUCCGUUGUAGUAGUCUUGCAGGUGAUGACCAACCACUGAAAAAAUUUAGUUGUUAUGUUAUGUUUGGACUGCCAACUUGCUAUAUUGUACAUCUUUAAAAUUAGCAGAAGCUUUGCCAUUUUCAGUUACUGUUGGGAUAGAGUUUCAUAUGUACAACCUUCCAUUGGACAGGGGCAUUAAGGUAGUAGUAUGGAUAGGAUUUUGAAUGGACUAUCAGCUCUUUGUUCUGAAGAUUAUAUGCCAUGUCAUUAUCAGUAUACAAUACAUCUCAUUUUAAGUCUCAGUUUAAAGUUGUAGUAGUCGAAGUUUAGAUUAGUCUAAGUUCCAAUAUUUGAUUUUUGUAAUGUGUUUUGUUCCCAAUAAACAAGAUCUGCAUAACAGGUUUAAUUUUUUUGUUCCCAAUAAACCAUAGGUACUUGCCAUAGCAUAAUUUGCUGCUACUUUGUUCUAUUUUUUCUGAAUAAAUAUUUUUUCCAUUAUUACAAUUUUGUACUAUAAUAUGACUGGACUUUGCUGCUAUCUCCUUGAACUAAAGCUUGCCCUCUCUUAUCUGCUCCCCCAAAGCUUGCCAUCAUUAUCUUCUCCUGGAGCUUCUCCUCUCUUAUCUUAUUAUAAAGCUUGUGCUCUCUUAUCUCUUGCUAAUUCUUUGCUCAAAUCUCAUUUCAUUGCUGCUUGAUUCCUAGCUGCAAACAAAAAAUGUCCAUUUAAUCUUUACACUAGUAGGAGAUAAGAACUAACAUGAUGACACAUACUAUGAUGCUGGUUGUUCCAACUGUACAUGACUCUGUCUUCUUGUGGAUGAGUCAUUUGUUCUUUAUCCCUGAAAUUAAUAGAAGCAUUGACAUCUAGCUUUCUCUUUUGUCCCGCGUCUUGAGAUAUUUGCUGAGCCUGGGGCCUGUUGGGAGAGCAAGGUUCCAACACAAGGGCAAAUAGGAGAGUGAACUGCAAAGACCAACCUUGGUGCACAUCGAUCCAGGAGAUGAUGGCAGUGAGAUAAAGAGAUUAAAGCAGCAGCUAACAAAGGAAUUUGAAGUCAAGGACCUUGGGCAUUUGAGAUAUUUCCUGGGGAUCGAAGUGUCACAAAGUGCAAAACGUAUUUACCUUUCACAGAGAAAAUAUGUUCUAGACUUGUUAACUGAAACUGGAAUGACUGGGUGUCGUCCAGCAUUUACCCCAAUUGAAGCGAACCAGCGUCUUACUAAAGAUGGAGGAUCCCCUGUCGAUAGAGAGCAAUACCAACGACUAGUUGGGCGUUUAAUUUACUUGUCACACACUCGUCCUGAUCUAGCCUUUGCUGUUAGUGUCGUGAGUCAAUUUAUGCAUGAUCCUAGAAGUCAACAUUUAGAUGCUGUCAUGAGGAUAAUACGUUAUCUGAAAGGGUCUCCUGGUAAAGGUUUAUUAUAUACAUGUCAUGGUAAUUUGCAAAUUGAAUGCUAUACAGAUGCAGAUUGGGCAGGUUCAGUGGAUGACAGAAGAUCAACCUCUGGUUAUUGCACCUUCAUUGGAGGGAAUCUUUUUACUUGGCGGAGUAAGAAGCAGAAUGUUGUGGCCAGAUCCACAGCUGAGGCAGAGUUCCGAGCCAUGGCACACGGGGUAUGUGAAGUUCUCUGGUUGAAAAUUUUAUUAAUGGAGUUGGGUUUAUUCCAAGAAAAGCCGUUAUUAUUAUACUGUGAUAAUAAAGCUGCACUUGAUAUUGCCCAUAACCCAGUGCAUCAUGGUCGAACAAAACAUAUUGAGAUCGAUCGGCACUUUAUCAAAGAAAAGUUAGACCAAGGAUCAUCUGCGUGCCAUAUAUUAGUUCUUCAAAUCAACUUGCUGAUGUACUGACUAAAGGUUUACCUGAGAAAAUAUUUUCUAGCCUAUGUGGCAAGAUGGGGCUGUAUGAUGCAUUUGCCCCAUCUUGAGGGGGAGUGUUGGAAGUGGGACUUAGAUGUAAAUAGAACAAAGUUAUAUGACUAAAAUAAAAAGAGCAAAUGAAUAUCCAGAGGGGAACAAGAUGUACUAGAAGCUUCAGUUACCCAGUUUACUCUCCCCUCUCCUGUACUCUGCCUGUUCAGACUCCAUGAAUGAAAUCCAUCUUUGUGAGUAA